rnacentral:tRNA from 1 species
GCCCAAGUGGUGGAAUUGGUAGACACAAGGGACUUAAAAUCCCUCGGACUUCGGUCUGUGCCGGUUCAAGUCCGGCCUUGGGCA